rnacentral:rRNA from 1 species
GACGAACGCUGGCGGCGUGCUUAACACAUGCAAGUCGUACGGUAAGGCCCUUUCGGGGGCACACGAGUGGCGAACGGGUGAGUAACACGUGAGUAACCUGCCCACAACUUUGGGAUAACGCUAGGAAACUGGUGCUAAUACUGGAUAUGUGCUCCUGCUGCAUGGUGGGGGUUGGAAAGCUCCGGCGGUUGUGGAUGGACUCGCGGCCUAUCAGCUUGUUGGUGGGGUAGUGGCCUACCAAGGCGGCGACGGGUAGCCGGCCUGAGAGGGUGACCGGCCACAUUGGGACUGAGAUACGGCCCAGACUCCUACGGGAGGCAGCAGUGGGGAAUAUUGCACAAUGGGCGCAAGCCUGAUGCAGCAACGCCGCGUGCGGGAUGACGGCCUUCGGGUUGUAAACCGCUUUCAGCAGGGACGAAGCUUUUUGUGACGGUACCUGCAGAAGAAGCACCGGCUAACUACGU